CCGGGAUCUCUGCGCGCACUCUGAUGAAUUGCCAUUUAAUUCUGCACCCUAACCUUAAAUAGAGAGGGGUGGAGGGGGAAAUGCACACCUGCACAUUUGCAUUUUCUCUCAUUGCUGCCAACAUUAUUUUAGAUAUAGGAAACAAAGCUGUUGCAGCUGCGUACUGCUUAAGUUUUAGCUAAUCGGUUAAUACCAGGUAAUUACUUAAACACACUCUUUAAAUAAGAGGCACAUUCUUUUUUUCCCCACUCCAUUCCUGUGAUUGAAUCAGCGCUUGGCGGGUUCUCAGCGCGGCUUUGAUUGCGCAAAAAAAAAUGAGCCUAAUUGGUAGCCUUUGACCUAUCGCCACGUUGUUGCAGCUGAGUGUGACUCGGGAUCGCUGAAGUCCGGUGAACGGAAGUUAAUGAGGGAAGGAGCACAUUUGCUGUUUUGUAGGAUGUGAAUCAAAGGAAGAUCAGAAUUUAUCGGCUUGUAGAAAUGCAACAAAGAUUUUUCUGUUUAAAAGUUCAACAUGACUCUGGAAUCUGGUUCCUGGGAGAGAUUUGCAGUAUCCACUUACCCUCCACAUCUUUCUUGUAAUGGGGUGACUGGAAUUGAAUGCAAUACUCCAGAUGUGGCCUAACUGGACUUCUAUAAAGCUGCAGCAUAACCUCCUGACACUUGAACUCGGUUCCUCAACUAAUAAAGAAACAAAGUAAACAGAUUGAGAUCAGCCUAUAUUCCAUCAUUCACGGAUCCUGGGAAAAUCCACCAGGUGUUCAGCUCAGCUGGAUGUGAGCCAUUUUUUAAAAAAAAAGUGCUUUCGGCAGAAGAGGACUUACUUUGUGGUUCAAACUUCAUGUGGGGCAGAGACUAAUGACUCCAUUAACAUCUCAAUUCUGGGAAAUGUGAACACCAAACCUGUAUUAAUCUUCAAAGGGAAACAGCAAAAUACUUUGUAAUGAGGUGCUCCCUCUACUAAUAUUCCCUUUAAGAGAUUAGUACAGUAUUGACAGCACAAGCUUUUGAUAAAUAUUAUAAAGUUUGAAGUAAAAUAAAUUACUAAUGUAAAAUAAAUUACAA